rnacentral:rRNA from 1 species
UACGUAGGGAGCAAGCGUUGUCCGGAAUCAUUGGGCGUAAAGCGCGCGUAGGCGGCCCUGUAAGUCCGCUGUGAAAGUCAAAGGCUCAACCUUUGAAAGCCGGUGGAUACUGCAGGGCUAGAGUCCGGAAGAGGCGAGUGGAAUUCCUGGUGUAGCGGUGGAAUGCGCAGAUAUCAGGAGGAACACCAAUGGCGAAGGCAGCUCGCUGGGACGGUACUGACGCUGAGACGCGAAAGCGUGGGGAGCAAACAGG